GGUUGAGAAGCGUUACUGGGGUCUGGGCUCACAUUGCCAGCUCUAAUUUGACUAGCAAAGCGACGGCGUUUUCCGAUGCUGUGUGCAAACGCAAAUGUCAGAAGAAGAGCUGUGUCUUACUCGCUGUACAGGAAUGGAGGCGAUCACUUCCCUUACCUCUAAAAACUUCCUCCCAAACUCGGUCUCGGUGGAUUGGUGGCGCUGUUGCUUAUUGCUCCAUCUCUCAUCAGGUAACCCCAAUUUUAGGGAGUUUCAUUAUGUAUUUAAUUGUUCGUUGCUAUAACAAGGUUCUGGUGAAGUAACUUUUCAAAUGCACUUAUUGAUCGUUGGAGGCUCGUUUGAGUGGUUGAAUUGUUUAAUCUGGCGCUAGAUUUCGCAUUGGAGUGAUCAUAAAGAAGAGUGUGGAAAGUUGUAGCAACAAAUGAAGCUUGUAGAUGACUUGAACGAUUUCCCUUUCACUUUUACUCCAGAAGCCACUCUUCUGGUUUUUGAAAAGCGGCAGAGUAGGUGUUCGUUCCUAAGCAAAUGACCUGAUGGUGGUGGGUAUGACGCCACUAACUUGCAUCUUUUUCCUUCUAGUAUAAAGAGAGGGCUGGUCGUCCCCUGACAUAUCGAAGUUGAGGCCUCAAAGUCUGGUAGAAUCAUGUCAUAUUCAGACAACAUUGAAGAUACAUUCUCCUAUUCCCGGACUAUUCCCAACAUUGAUAGCAUUGCCUCUAUCUCUUCCUGACAAUGUCAUGAAUUUCUUGCCACAUUCAGAAGGGUAUGCUCACAAUAAAGAGAAGCAAGCGUUAUAAUUUGAUAAUGCUGACUUGAUUGUAAAUUAUCAAGAGUUAGUUACUGUUUGAUUUAGUUCGAGACCGUCCAUAUUGUCCGAACAAGAUUCGAAGACGUAAACGCUUCCUGCUUUAAGUAAUAGAAAAUAUUCGUUUGGGUGUAUGCCAUUUUCAAAAACCACACCAAACUUGUUUACCAGGAAAUGCCCCACGUGGUCUUGGCAUCUCCUGCUCCAGCGGCGCAACUAAUCAUCGUGAACAACGCGAAAAGGGGUCAAUUUAGGUUAAGGUACCCCUUCUCUCUCAAUCCACAUGGGCCAAAUCCCAAAUCGCCUCCAUUUCUGACUUGGUUUUCUCCUUCUGCAACUCAAUCUAUCCCUUCCAAAGAGUUGCACCAAUCGAAAACCAACCCAAUCCAUGUCUAAAUCACCUCAAACGACAUUGUCUUUUUUGCUAUCGGCUUUUGUGUUGUUAUGCUUUCUAGGAUUAGGGUUUGGUUCAAUUUAUGCGGAAGCUUUGAAGUUGCCUUUUAGGGUUAAUGAUGUGCUUCCGGUCUUGCCACAUCAGAUAUCAUGGCCUGUACUGAACAAUUUUCAUGGCGCUGUUGAUUUGUUGCCAUAUUUCGUUGGAUCGGUGUCUCCCAAAAAUGGCUCUAUUCAGUGGAAAGGAGCUUGCUUUUACGAGAACGAGGCUCGCCUUGACUUCAUCCAAGGUGAUCGUGACCAACCUGACUUGGGAGGCGGCGUUCUCUAUCUCAAGACAUCUGCAGCGCACAGCUGGACCUGUAUGGAUUUGUAUGUUUUUGCAACACCUUAUCGUGUUACGUGGGAUUACUACUUUUCUGCACGAGAGCAUACUCUGAAGUUUAAGUCAUGGGAAGAGGCCGCAGAGCUGGAAUACGUGAAGCAACAUGGGGUUUCUGUAUUUCUCAUGCCAUCAGGAAUGCUUGGGACCUUGCAUUCUUUAAUGGAUGUCUUGCCUCUGUUCUCUAACACUGCAUGGGGUCAGAAUGCUAACUUAGCUUUUCUGAAGAAGCACAUGGGUGCCACAUUUGAGAAACGUCCUCAGCCCUGGCGUGAAAUCAUUAAUCCUGAUGAUGUUCAUUCUGGUGAUUUUCUGGCUGUGUCAAAGAUUCGUGGUCGUUGGGGUGGAUUUGAGACAUUGGAGAAAUGGGUGACUGGUGCAUUUGCUGGUCAUACAGCAGUUUGCUUGAAGGAUGAAAUGGGGAAUCUUUGGGUUGGUGAAUCAGGACAUGAGAAUGAAAAGGGUGAAGAGAUUAUAGCAGUCAUCCCAUGGGAUGAGUGGUGGGAUUUGUCUCUAAAGGAUAGUUCUAAUCCACAAAUAGCUUUGCUACCUUUACAUCCAGAUGUGCGUGCAAGGUUCAACAACACUGCAGCAUGGGAGUAUGCUCGGAGCAUGUCAGGCAAGCCAUAUGGUUAUCACAACAUGAUAUUUAGUUGGAUUGACACAAUAGCUGACAAUUACCCACCGCCUCUUGAUGCUCACUUGGUCAUUUCUGUCAUGUCUAUGUGGACUCGGGUGCAGCCUACUUAUGCUGCAAAUAUGUGGAAUGAAGCUCUAAAUAAACGGCUAGGGACUGAGGAUUUGGACCUGUAUGGAAUCCUGGCUGAGGUUGGAAGGCGUGGCAUAGCCUUUGAUGAAUUGCUAACUACACCAGAACAAGAUGAAUGGAUAUACAGUGAUGGGAAAUCAACAACAUGUGUUGCCUUCAUCCUUGCAAUGUAUAAGGAGGCUGGAGUAUUUGGUCCCAUUUCUAGCUCUAUUCAAGUAACUGAAUUUACUAUUCGCGAUGCAUACAUGCUUAAAAUUUUUGAGAACAACCAAACGCGUCUGCCUGCCUGGUGCAAGAAUAAGGAUGGGCUGCUCUCAUUCUGCCAAAUUCUUGGCGAGUAUCAGCUGGAAUUGCCUGGAUAUAACAGCGUAGAGCCAUAUGCCAAUAUGAAUGAAAACUGCCCAUCCUUACCUCCCAGUUAUGAUAGACCCGGGCGUUGUUAAUUUGAAAUCAACCUAUUUGUUAGUACUAAAAUACUGUCUUUCCUCCAAGUUUACAAUGUGUCCGUUCCUAAGCUGCCAAGAUGUAUUUCUAGAAAAACUAGUAAGAUAUGUGCUACAUAUUCUCUUUCCCACGUUACUGGAGAUUAUGCAGUGCUGUACAUAAAUGUUUUUCCAGUAAAGACAUUGCUUACAGAAUAGCUUCCUUCUUUAUUAUUAUUUUUUUUUU
rnacentral:misc_RNA from 1 species